UACGUAGGGUGCAAGCGUUGUCCGGAAUUAUUGGGCGUAAAGAGCUCGUAGGUGGUUUGUCGCGUUGUUCGUGAAAACCGGGGGCUUAACCCUCGGCGUGCGGGCGAUACGGGCAGACUGGAGUACUGCAGGGGAGACUGGAAUUCCUGGUGUAGCGGUGAAAUGCGCAGAUAUCAGGAGGAACACCGGUGGCGAAGGCGGGUCUCUGGGCCGAUACUGACGCUGAGGAGCGAAAGCGUGGGGAGCGAACAGG
rnacentral:rRNA from 1 species